UAACUGUGUAGCGUUGUGAAGUGCUCAUUUAUUGAUUUCAAUAUUUUUAAAUCUUUGUCAAAAUGGAUAUUGAUUUAACAGCUUGUUCUAGUAGUGAUGGUUUAAGAAAUUUUACUCAUGAAGAUUUAUUUACAUUUUUACGUAAUAGGGAUAGUUUAAAUCCUACAAAUAUUGAUUCUAGACGAUUUUUGCUUCUAAUAUUUAAAUAAAAAUAUAAUGGUCAGAAUUGGAAACCUGAUAAUGAAAUGGCUAUUGAUAAAAAAAUACUAAAUUUUUGUUUGGUUUUGUCAAAACUAUGGGUUAAAUCAUCACGUGUAUUGAAAAGAUUUAUUGAUAAUAAUACAAAAUAGCUAAAAAAAAAAAAUUUGUACUGCCUAACACAACUCCACUGCCAUUAUCAUCAGGAGAUAAAGUCGUUGAACGACCUUUAAAAUUAUUUUCUGACUGUAGUGAUAGAUCUAAAAGCAAAAUAAUUUUUUUAACUAAAAUUUAUACCUCACCAGAGCUUAUUUUUGUCACUCAAAAUAAAUUGCAAAAGCAUAGUAAUAGGUCGUAAGUGAAGAAGAUAAAAUAUGUUUGGCCACUCGUAAAAAAUAUAUUCAAGAACGAUUUCGGAAUGAAACUGGUUUAUUGAUUAAUGUAUUUUUACAAGGGAAUGGAACCACUAAUGAUGGGAACACCAUUCGUCGAUUUUUCCACAAUUAUGAACAAACUGCCAAUGUAACUAGAAUAGAUCUAAAUCUAAUUAUAGAAUCUGGUGUUAUAUUGAGAAUUCUAGCAUGUGGUAUGGAAAUUGAUACCAACCGGUUUGAGAAAUAUGCAAUUGAAACAGCACAACUAUAUGUAGAAUUGUACCCAAGGUACUACAUGCCGGUUUGCUAUCAGAAGAGGCACAAGAAGCGCGUAAUAAAGAUUUUAAAAAUAUUCGAGAGAAUCACACCAGAAAAAUAUCAAGAUUAAAACAAAAUGAAGAUCUAAUACAUAAGUUACUAACGUCAUCUUACCCAUAUAUAUCUAGUAUUAGACUUAACCGAAAAAAAAAGUGCAAGCUUGAUGAAGCCAUGAAAUCAUUAAUUCUAGAAAUAAAUAAUUCAAAUGACGAAAGUGACAUUGAUUCGAACAACUCUAGUUCCGAUACUACCUCGAGUACAGACUGAAUAAAGAAUAUUAUUAUUAUUAUUAUUAA